rnacentral:rRNA from 1 species
GUACGUUGGAGUAGACCCGAAACCGGGUGACCUAUCCAUGAGCAGGUUGAAGCAAGGGUAAAGCCUUGUGGAGGACCGAACCGUCAACGGCUGAAAACGUUCCGGAUGACUUGUGGAUAGGGGUGAAAGGUCAAUCAAACCCGGUGAUAGCUGGUUCUCCCCGAAAUAUAUUGAGGUAUAGCCUCGGGAAUUGAUUAGCGGAGGUAAAGCACUGACAGAGCUAGGGGUCCUACCAGAUUACCAAACUCUAUCAAACUCAGAAUGCCGCUUAAUUGUAUCCCGGGAGUCAGACGGCGGGUGCGAAGGUUCGUCGUCAAAAGGGAAACAGCCCAGACCAACAGCUAAGGUCUCCAAAUCCAUGCUCAGUGGUGAAGGUAGUGGAACCGUUUAGACAGCCAGGACGUUGGCUUAGAAGCAGCCAUCGUUUAAAGAAAGCGUAAUAGCUCACUGGUCUAAUGGCUCUGCGCCGAAAAUGUAACGGGGCUAAGCAUGGUACCGAAGCUUUGGCAAUCCCCUUUGGGGAUUGGGUAGGGGAGCGUUCGCUGCGGGCUGAAGGUGUAUCGGAAGGUAUGCUGGACUGCAGUGAAGUGAUUAUGCUGACAUGAGUAACGAUAAAAUAUGUGAAAAACAUAUUCGCCGAAAACCCGAGGUUUCCUGGGUAAAGGUAAUCUUCCCAGGGUUAGUCGGAUCCUAAGGUGAGGGUGAAAGCCGUAACCGAUGGAAAACAGGUUAAUAUUCCUGUACUUGUUGUGUAGCGCGAUGGAGGGACGCAGGAAGAUAGGCGGGCCGGGUGUUGGAUAUCCCGGUGCAAGCGUGUAGGAAUAUCCGGUAGGCAAAUCCGCCGGACGAAUCUGAGACGCGAGUCCGUGGGCGCAAGCCCUGAAGCCGUUGAGUCUAUGCUGCCUAGAAAAGCUCCUAAGUUUAUCCACAGCAAUCCGUACCGCAAACCAACUCAGGUGGGUGGGAUGAACAAUCCAAGGCGCUCGAGAGAACUCUGGCCAAGGAACUCGGCAAAAUAACCCCGUAACUUCGGAAGAAGGGGUGCUCUCUAGGGUGACAUGUUUAACAUAUGAAGCCCCGGGGAGCCGCAGUGAAUUGGUGGUGGCGACUGUUUACUAAAAACAUAGGUCUGUGCGAAGUCCUAAAGACGACGUAUACGGACUGACGCCUGCCCGGUGCUGGAAGGUUAAAAGGAGGGGUCAGCGCAAGCAAAGCUCCGAAUUGAAGCCCCAGUAAACGGCGGCCGUAACUAUAACGGUCCUAAGGUAGCGAAAUUCCUUGUCGGGUAAGUUCCGACCUGCACGAAUGGCGUAACGAUCUCCACACUGUCUCGGCCAGAGACUCGGUGAAAUUGCAGUCGCGGUGAAAAUUCCGUGUACCCGCAGAAAGACGGAAAGACCCUGUGCACCUUUACUAUAGCUUGACAUUGGAUUUUGGGCCUGCAUGUGUAGGAUAGGUGGGAGGCUGUGAACCCUGUACGCCAGUAUGGGGGGAGCCAUCCUUGAAAUACCACCCUUGCAUGUUUAAGAUCCUAACUUCUUCCGGUUAUCCCGGAGAAAGACAGUGUCUGGCGGGUAGUUUGACUGGGGCGGUCGCCUCCUAAAGUGUAACGGAGGCAUGCAAAGGUUCCCUCAGCCUGAUCGGAAACCAGGCGCUGAGUGCAAACGCAUAAGGGAGCUUGACUGUAAGAGAGACAUCUCGAACAGGAACGAAAGUUGGCGUUAGUGAUCCGGUGGUCCCGAAUGGAAGGGCCAUCGCUCAUUGGAUAAAAGGUACGCCGGGGAUAACAGGCUGAUCGCAUCCAAGAGUUCACAUCGACGAUGCGGUUUGGCACCUCGAUGUCGGCUCAUCACAUCCUGGGGCUGAAGCAGGUCCCAAGGGUACGGCUGUUCGCCGUUUAAAGUGGUACGCGAGCUGGGUUUAAAACGUCGUGAGACAGUUUGGUCCCUAUCUUCUGUGGGCGAAGGAGAAUUGAGAGGGCCUGUCCCUAGUACGAGAGGACCGGGAUGGACGCACCCCUGGCGAUCCUGUUGUCGCGCCAGCGGCAUAGCAGGG